rnacentral:rRNA from 1 species
CUACGGGCGGCACCAGUGAGGAAUAUUGCGCAAUGGGGGAAACCCUGACGCAGCGACGCCGCGUGGAUGAUGAAGGCCUUCGGGUCGUAAAAUCCUGUCAGAAGGAAAGAAGUGUAUGGUAGCUAAUAUCUGCCAUACUUGACGGUACCUUCAAAGGAAGCACCGGCUAACUCCGUGCCAGUAGCCGCGGUAAUACGGAGGGUGCAAGCGUUGUUCGGAAUUACUGGGCGUAAAGCGCGCGUAGGCGGUUUUAUAAGUCAGAUGUGAAAGUCCACGGCUCAACCAUGGAAGUGCAUUUGAAACUGUAAGACUUGAGUAUUGGAGGGGGUAGUGGAAUUCCCGGUGUAGAGGUGAAAUUCGUAGAUAUCGAGAGGAAUACCGGUGGCGAAGGCGACUAUCUGGCCAAAUACUGACGCUGAGGUGCGAAAGCGUGGGGAGCAAACAGGAUUAGAUACCCCCGUAGUC